AAAAAGAAAACAGACGUCUCUAGAAACGACACUGUUCGCCAAUUUUCUGGAAUAAUCGACAACGAUCUUAAUCCUUCCGAAUCUAUAUAAGAGAUGAAUUCAAUCGACAUAACCAGUCAAUCUAAUUCAUUCUGCAACAUAACAAACAUUACGGAAAAUCUCGUAACCUCGCUCCCGAAUCCCAAAUUCACAGUUUUCAAAUUAAACCCUCGAAACCUAAAAAUCUCUACAACAAUGUCGAUGAUUCCAAGCUUCUUCGGUAACCAGAGGACAAACGUUUUCGACCCAUUCUCACUAGACAUUUGGGAUCCAUUCCAAGAUUUCCCAUUCCCAGAUUCUUCCUCUUCUGCACUUUCCUUUCCUGCUCGUUCUGAAAUCUCAAAAGAAACAUCACAAUUGGCAAACACUAGAAUCGACUGGAAAGAAACCCCAGAAGCCCAUAUAUUCAGAGCCGAUCUUCCUGGAAUUAAAAAAGAAGUGAAAGUUGAAAUUGAAGAAGGAAGAGUGCUUCAGAUUAGUGGUGAAAGAAGUAGAGAGAAAGAAGAAAAGAAUGAUAAGUGGCAUAGAGUUGAACGCAGCAGCGGUAAGUUUUUAAGAAGAUUCCGAUUGCCAGAAAAUGCAAACAUUGAAGAAGUUAAGGCGUCUAUGGAGAAUGGAGUACUUACUGUCAAUGUUCCUAAAGUUGAAGAGAAGAAGCCUGAAGUGAAAUCUAUUCAGAUUUCUGGUUAGAGGGGAUGUUCAGUGAGUGCAUGAUUGAUUUUCUGUUGCAUCUACGGCAUGUGAAUGAAUCAAUGUGGAUUCUUUGGUGCCGGAUUUCUUUUACUGGGAUUGCACCAUUUAAAAAAGCCUUAACCAGAUGACGAGCGGAGUUCUAUGAGACCUCUGAGCUUUCCAACUUAGGUGCAAGCGUAUAGAAUCAGUGUUUCUACUCAAUGAACACUUACAGGGCAUUUGGUCUAGUGGUUUGAGAGUUCCCGAGUUCAGCUCAUUCUUCAAAUGCCGCCCCCAUUUCGUUCUUCUAGCUCAGUUGGUAAAGCAUCAGUUGCUGUUCAGAUGCCCCUAUGCAUUGCCGUCC